UACGGAGGGUGCAAGCGUUAAUCGGAAUUACUGGGCGUAAAGCGUGCGUAGGCGGUUCGUUAAGUCUGCUGUGAAAGCCCCGGGCUCAACCUGGGAAUGGCAGUGGAUACUGGCGAGCUAGAGUGUGAUAGGGGAUGGUGGAAUUCCCGGUGUAGCGGUGAAAUGCGUAGAGAUCGGGAGGAACAUCAGUGGCGAAGGCGGCCAUCUGGAUCAACACUGACGCUGAGGCACGAAAGCGUGGGGAGCAAACAGG
rnacentral:rRNA from 1 species